GCAAACUUGGUCAUUUAGAGGAAGUAAAAGUCGUAACAAGGUUUCCGUAGGUGAACCUGCGGAAGGAUCAUUAUUGAAUUAUGCCUUGAUGGGUUGUCGCUGGCCUCUUGAGGCAUGUGCACGCCUGUCUUGACUCUAUUCAUCCACCUGUGCACCUAUUGUAGUCCUCUACUUGUUGAGAGUCAUGGAAGCAGGCUUUUGUUCAGUUGAAAUACACUGGAUUUGAGGAUUGCCUUUGGCUCUCCUCUUGCAGCCUUGUGGAAUUGUUCUCUUGAGAAAGGGGGCUAUGUUCUUUUAUCAUAAACCAUUUAGUAUGUUGUAGAAUGUAUUCAAUGGGCCUUUGUGCCUAUAAAACCUUAUACAACUUUCAGCAACGGAUCUCUUGGCUCUCGCAUCGAUGAAGAACGCAGC
rnacentral:misc_RNA from 1 species